rnacentral:rRNA from 1 species
AUGGUUAAGCUACUAAGAGCGCACGGAGGAUGCCUAGGCGCCAGAAGCCGAUGAAGGACGUGGCGAACCACGAUAGGCCUCGGGGAGCUGUAAGCAAGCGUUGAUCCGGGGAUUUCCGAAUGGGGAAACCCAGCUGGGGUAAUGCCCAGUUACUGCAGCGUGAAUUCAUAGCGCUGCGUGAGGCAUACCAGGGGAACUGAAACAUCUAAGUACCCUGAGGAAGAGAAAACAAUAGUGAUUCCGUCAGUAGCGGCGAGCGAACGCGGAUUAGCCCAAACCAGGGGCUUGCCUGGGGUUGUGGGACGUCUCACACGGAGUUACAAAGGAACAGGUUAGGCGAAGAGGUCUGGAAAGGCCCGCCAUAGCAGGUAAAAGCCCUGUAGCUCAAAGCCUGCUCCCUCCGAGACGGAUCCCGAGUACCGCGAGACACGUGAAACCUCGUGGGAAUCCGGCAGGACCAUCUGCCAAGGCUAAAUACUCUCUGGCGACCGAUAGUGAAGCAGUACCGUGAGGGAAAGGUGAAAAGCACCGCGGGAGCGGAGUGAAAUAGAACCUGAAACCGUGCGCUUACAAAAAGUCAGAGCCCGUUAUAGGGGUGAUGGCGUGCCUUUUGUAGAAUGAACCGGCGAGUUACGUUCACGUGCAAGGUUAAGUCGGGAAGACGGAGCCGCAGCGAAAGCGAGUCUGAAUAGGGCGCCUUUAGUACGUGGGUGUAGACCCGAAACCGGGUGAUCUACCCCUGUCCAGGGUGAAGGUGCGGUAACACGCACUGGAGGCCCGAACCCACGAAUGUUGAAAAAUUCGGGGAUGAGGUGGGGGUAGCGGAGAAAUUCCAAUCGAACUCGGAAAUAGCUGGUUCUCCCCGAAAUAGCUUUAGGGCUAGCCUCGGUGUUGAGCAUGCUGGAGGUAGAGCACUGAUUGGGUGCGGGGCCCGCCAAGGGUUACCAAGUCCAGUCAAACUCCGAAUGCCAGUCAUGUAUAACCGGGAGUCAGACGGUGAGUGCUAAGAUCCAUCGUCAAGAGGGAAACAGCCCAGAUCAUCAGCUAAGGUCCCCAAGUGUGUGUUAAGUGGGAAAGGAUGUGGAGUUGCCCAGACAACCAGGAUGUUGGCUUAGAAGCAGCCACCAUUUAAAGAGUGCGUAAUAGCUCACUGGUCGAGUGACUCUGCGCCGAAAAUGUAACGGGGCUAAACACACCACCGAAGCUAUGGCAAAGCUGCAAGCGCAAGCUUGGCAGCAUUGGGUAGGGGAGCGUUGUGUAUAGGUUGAAGUCAGACCGCAAGGACUGGUGGACAGUACACAAGUGAGAAUGCCGGUAUGAGUAACGAAAAGAUCAGUGAGAAUCUGAUCCGCCGUAAGCCUAAGGGUUCCUGAGGAAGGUUCGUCCGCUCAGGGUAAGUCGGGACCUAAGGCGAGGCCGAAAGGCGUAGUCGAAGGACAACAGGUUGAUAUUCCUGUACCACCGUAAGCCGUUAUGAGCAAUGGAGUGACGCAGAAGGGUAGUGACGCGGACCGAUGGAUGUGUCCGUCCAAGCAGUGAGGCUGGUUUGUUGGCAAAUCCGCAAACCGUAAGGCUGGGCUGUGAUGGGGAGGGAAACUUACAGUACCGAAGGUCAUGAUCUCCGGCUGCCAAGAAAAGCUUCUAGCCAGGCGAAGGUGCCCGUACCGCAAACCGACACAGGUAGGCGAGCAGAGCAUGCUAAGGCGCGCGGAGUAACUCUCGUUAAGGAACUCGGCAACAUGACCCCGUAACUUCGGGAGAAGGGGUGCCUCGGUAGGGUGAAUAGCCCGAGGGGGCCGCAGUGAAAAGGCCCAAGCGACUGUUUAGCAAAAACACAGGUCUGUGCGAAGCCGUAAGGCGAAGUAUACGGGCUGACGCCUGCCCGGUGCUGGAAGGUUAAGGGGAGCGGUUAGGGAGCAAUCCCGAAGCUGUGAACCGAAGCCCCAGUAAACGGCGGCCGUAACUAUAACGGUCCUAAGGUAGCGAAAUUCCUUGUCAGGUAAAUUCUGACCCGCACGAAUGGCGUAACGACUUGGGCGCUGUCUCAACGAGAGAUCCGGUGAAAUUUUACUACCUGUGAAGAUGCAGGUUACCCGCGACAAGACGGAAAGACCCCAUGGAGCUUUACUGCAGCUUGAUAUUGGACUUUGGUACGAUCUGUACAGGAUAGGUGGGAGCCUAGGAAGCCGGAGCGCCAGCUUCGGAGGAGGCGCCGUUGGGAUACCACCCUGAUCGUAUCGGAGUUCUAACCUGUCACCGUGAAACCGGUGAAGGGACCGUGUCAGGCGGGCAGUUUGACUGGGGCGGUCGCCUCCUAAAAUGUAACGGAGGCGCCCAAAGGUUCCCUCAGAAUGGUUGGAAAUCAUUCGAAGCGUGCAAAGGCAUAAGGGAGCUUGACUGCGAGACCAACAAGUCGAGCAGGGACGAAAGUCGGGCUUAGUGAUCCGGUGGUACCGAAUGGAAGGGCCAUCGCUCAACGGAUAAAAGCUACCCUGGGGAUAACAGGCUUAUCUCCCCCAAGAGUCCACAUCGACGGGGAGGUUUGGCACCUCGAUGUCGGCUCAUCGCAUCCUGGGGCUGAAGUAGGUCCCAAGGGUUGGGCUGUUCGCCCAUUAAAGCGGUACGCGAGCUGGGUUCAGAACGUCGUGAGACAGUUCGGUCCCUAUCUGUCGUGGGCGUAGGAAAUUUGAGAGGAGCUGUCCUUAGUACGAGAGGACCGGGAUGGACGUACCGCUGGUGUACCAGUUGUUCCGCCAGGAGCACCGCUGGGUAGCUACGUACGGACGGGAUAAGCGCUGAAAGCAUCUAAGCGCGAAGCCCCCCUCAAGAUGAGAUUUCCCAGUAUGUAAGACCCCUGGAAGACGACCAGGUCGAUAGGCUCGAGGUGGAAGCGCGGCAACGUGUGCAGCUGACGAGUACUAAUCGGUCGAGGGCUUAUCCUA